rnacentral:rRNA from 1 species
UGAGGAAUAUUGGACAACGGGCGCAAGCCUGAUCCAGCCAUGCCGCGUGCAGGAAGAAGCAUCUAUGGUGUGUAAACUGCUUUUGUACGGGAAGAAACACUCCUUCGUGAAGGAGCUUGACGGUACCGUAAGAAUAAGGAUCGGCUAACUCCGUGCCAGCAGCCGCGGUAAUACGGAGGAUCCAAGCGUUAUCCGGAAUCAUUGGGUUUAAAGGGUCCGUAGGCGGUUUAGUAAGUCAGUGGUGAAAGCCCAUCGCUCAACGAUGGAACGGCCAUUGAUACUGCUAGACUUGAAUUACAAGGAAGUAACUAGAAUAUGUAGUGUAGCGGUGAAAUGCUUAGAUAUUACAUGGAAUACCAAUUGCGAAUGCAGGUUACUACUUGUGGAUUGACGCUGAUGGACGAAAGCGUGGGGAGCAAACA